CUCCGCCGGCGACCGGCGCACGGGUGAGUAACACGUAUGCAACCUGCCCCUGUCAGGGGGACAACCCGCCGAAAGGCGGGCUAAACCCGCGUACAUGCCACCGGGGCAUCCCGGAGGCAGGAAAGGCUUCGGCCGGACAGGGAUGGGCAUGCGGCGCAUUAGGCAGUAGGCGGGGUAACGGCCCACCUAACCGACGAUGCGUAGGGGUUCUGAGAGGAAGGUCCCCCACACUGGUACUGAGACACGGACCAGACUCCUACGGGAGGCAGCAG
rnacentral:rRNA from 1 species